GUGCUACGAACGAAAUUUUAAGUAAAUAAAGCCAUUCUAGUCUAGACUGUCUAGUUUUUAAAUAAUUUGAGAUUUUUACCAAGAUUUGGAACGUAAGAUCAUCGUUUUUACGAGAAUGGUUCAUUAUCAUUAUCGCUAAAACAAUAUGGAUUGAGGUUCCUAGAAGGAAAAGUCACUCGUUUUCGUUUCGUAUUUUGUUACAACUCGCGCGUGUAUAAAGAUCUGAUUUCAAAGUCAACGUUUUAAGACACGUGUGGAGCGUCGCGGAGGCAUUAAUGUCAUUCAUGAGAUAGAAUAUCCCAGACAGACGAAAAGUCUCGGUUGCAAGUUGCAUGGCAUUAACCUGUGUCACUAUGCAGAAAAAUAAUAAUCCAAUAAAAAAAAAAACAUAAUUAUAAUCUCCUUGCUCGUUUCUUAAUUUGAUGCAUUUAGAUACAAGAGACUUUGACACGAGGAUAAGAAUAGUAUAAAGCUCCUAUUGCAACACAUUGUGGUAGACUUUGCAAAGGUUUGAGUCAGUAAAAGAAAAUUAAUCUUUUUUU